rnacentral:rRNA from 1 species
UACGUAGGGUGCGAGCGUUGUCCGGAAUUACUGGGCGUAAAGAGCUCGUAGGUGGUUUGUCGCGUUGUCCGUGAAAACUCACAACUCAAUUGUGGGCGUGCGGGCGAUACGGGCAGACUGGAGUACUGCAGGGGAGACUGGAAUUCCUGGUGUAGCGGUGGAAUGCGCAGAUAUCAGGAGGAACACCGGUGGCGAAGGCGGGUCCCUGGACAACUCCUGACACUGAGGCACGAAAGCUAGGGGAGCAAACAGG